rnacentral:rRNA from 1 species
UACGUAGGUGACAAGCGUUGUCCGGAUUUACUGGGCGUAAAGAGCGCGCAGGCGGUCGUUCAAGUCGAGUGUGAAAGCCCCCGGCUCAACUGGGGAGGGUCAUUCGAUACUGAUCGACUCGAAGGCAGGAGAGGGAAGUGGAAUUCCCGGUGUAGUGGUGAAAUGCGUAGAUAUCGGGAGGAACACCAGUGGCGAAGGCGACUUCCUGGCCUGUUCUUGACGCUGAGGCGGCGAAAGCUAGGGGAGCAAACGGG